AUAUGGUAAAAGAACAGUAGCCUUUUUUUCACCCCUUUCUUGCGCUAAUGCCCUUCCAUUCCUCGUUCUCCUUAUAUUCGGCAUUCUCAGCACCCGAGGAAGACAAAUUAAAAAAUAGAAAAGAAAUUUAAAGCAAACUUGAAGGAAGGCAAACAGUUGCAGAAGUUGAGUUAGGGUGCCUCAAACAAGGAGACCUCUGUUUUCCUAAUCUAUUGCAGGAAGUACCAAAUGGACACAUUGGUCGAAUACAGCCGAGUGAAGGUCAUGUGUUUGAUUGAAUGGCAGAGGUUAUUUCAUUGAAGGAUCAAUUGGACACAAUGGUCGAAUACAACAGAGUGAAGGCCAAGUGUUUGAUUGAAUUUACUAAAGGGUUUGUGCGUAGGUAAGGUCAAACUUCUGUUAUUGAUUCGAAGAAAUGAUCAAAAGAGCUUUAUUUGCCCGAGAAGUGGGCAUUUCCAAUGAUAAUGGAUGGCCACUUAGGAGGGGAAUUCACCGCAAGUACUAGUUUAUUUAUUGUUGAUAAAAUGGCCUAGUCCUUCACAUCUACCGUGCAAUGUGCUCAAAAAGGUAAUAAGAGAGGUUAUAUGAUAUUAGCUCUAGCAGUUCUAAAUUAGUGAUAUAUAACUUGAGUUUCAUGCACAAUUUCAUAUCCAGUGUAAAGAAAUCUUUGCAUAUUUAGAGCAUCCUCUUUCAAUAAAUGAUUGAUAAUCUUCCUUACAA